GAUGAACGCUAGCGGCAGGCUUAACACAUGCAAGUACGAACGGAGUUUUUUAACGGAAGUCUUCGGACGGAAGGCAAAGACUUAGUGGCGGACGGGUGAGUAACACGUGAGUAAUCUGCCUUACAGAGGGGGAUAACGUUCUGAAAAGAACGCUAAUACCGCAUAAGCCAACGAAAUCGCAUGGUUUAGUUGGAAAAGGAGCAAUCCGCUGUAAGAUGAGCUCGCGUCCGAUUAGCUAGUUGGCGGGGUAACAGCCCACCAAGGCGACGAUCGGUAGCCGGACUGAGAGGUUGGACGGCCACAUUGGGACUGAGACACGGCCCAGACUCCUACGGGAGGCAGCAGUGGGGAAUAUUGCACAAUGGGCGAAAGCCUGAUGCAGCGAUGCCGCGUGAGGGAAGACGGUUUUCGGAUUGUAAACCUCUGUCUUGUGGGACGAUAAUGACGGUACCACAGGAGGAAGCCAUGGCUAACUACGUG
rnacentral:rRNA from 1 species